CAUGUACUCCCUCCGUUCAAAAAUACUUGUCAUAAAAAUGGAUGUAUCUAAACUUAUUUUAGUUUUAGAUACAUCAAUUUUUAUCCAUUUCUAAAACAAGUAUUUCCGGACGGAGGGAGUACAUG
rfam:Triticum aestivum genome assembly, contig: Triticum_aestivum_CS42_TGACv1_scaffold_361951_4DS